rnacentral:rRNA from 1 species
UACCAGCACCCCGAGUGGUCGGGACGAUUAUUGGGCCUAAAGCAUCCGUAGCCGGUCCUGCAAGUCUUCCGUUAAAUCCAGCUGCUCAACAGAUGGGCUGCGGGGAGAUACUACAGGGCUAGGAGGCGGGAGAGGCAAGCGGUACUUAUGGGUAGGGGUAAAAUCCGCUGAUCCAUAGAAGACCACCAGUGGCGAAGGCGGCUUGCCAGACGCGCUCGACGGUGAGGGAUGA